rnacentral:rRNA from 1 species
UACAGAGGUCUCAAGCGUUGUUCGGAUUCAUUGGGCGUAAAGGGUGCGUAGGCGGCGCGGUAAGUCGGGUGUGAAAUCUCGGAGCUUAACUCCGAAACUGCAUUCGAUACUGCCGUGCUUGAGGACUGGAGAGGAGACUGGAAUUUACGGUGUAGCGGUGAAAAUGCGUAGAUAUCGUAAGGAAGACCAGUGGCGAAGGCGGGUCUCUGGACAGUUCCUGACGCUGAGGCACGAAGGCCCAGGGGGAGCAAAACGGG